UUCUUAAAAGCAGGCUCAGAACUUGAGGUGUAUAAUCUUUAUCUAGAACAAAUAUCUGCUCACUUGCUCUUUACAAUGAAGUUCUUGUUGUCUCUCUGUCUCAUCUGGACUCUCCUCAACACAGCUGAAGCACUUCAGAGUCUGAUGUGCAGGGAUUUUCCUCAGUGCGAAGAUACAUUUUCACAAAACUGUUCCUCCGAUCAGCUAUGCUACAGCUGCCGUCAGAUUACAUCAGAUGGGAAGUUCUCUAUUGUUCAUCACCAAGUCAUGUGUGCCACCCUCGUUGUGCGAUGUUGGAACUGGG